rnacentral:rRNA from 1 species
UAUCUCUGUAGAGUCUGCAUAUCAAUAAGCGGAGGAAAAGAAACUAACAAGGAUUCCCCUAGUAACGGCGAGUGAAGCGGGAAGAGCUCAAAUUUGAAAUCUUCAAGGUUCUACCUUGACGAAUUGUAGUUUAAAGAAGUGUUUUCUGUUGAGGAGUGGUAAAAGUUCUUUGGAAUAGGACAUCAUAGAGGGUGAGAAUCCCGUAUUUGACCAUUCUUUCUAGCUUUGUGAUACACUUUCAAAGAGUCGGAUUGUUUGGGAAUGCAGUCCAAAAUGGGUGGUAAAUUUCAUCUAAAGCUAAAUAUUGGCGAGAGACCGAUAGCGAACAAGUACCGUGAGGGAAAGAUGAAAAGAACUUUGAAAAGAGAGUUAAACAGUGCGUGAAAUUGUCAAAAGGGAAGCGUUUGACACCAGUGUUGUUUUUCCGAAAAUCAAUUAAAAAUGGAUUCAUGCUAAGUUGUAUUGACCUUAUCAGCUUGCAAUUUAGUUUUGGGUUUCUUUUUGAUGCACUUUUCGGUUAACAAGUCAACAUCAAUUUCCUUUGCUGUAAAAAGGCAGGAGGAAGGUGGCUUCAAUUUCGGUUGAAGUGUUUAUAGCCUUCUGUCUCUGCAGUCGGGGAGAUUGAGGUCUGCAGCGUAGAUCCUUCGGGGCUAGAUACAUUCGUGCUAAGUUAUAGCCUUUUAUAGACAACUUGUUGACUAUGAUUGGUCUUGUAAUUUACUCGCGAGUGCUAUUUUACCUACGCUUAGGAUGUUGAUCUACAGAGCGAGAGU